GUCCAGCUGGCUCAGUCAGAACAGCGUGAGACUCUACAUCUCAAGGUUGUGAGUUCAAGCCCCACGCUGGAUG
rnacentral:tRNA from 1 species